rnacentral:piRNA from 1 species
UAGAUUACAUGAUGACACCUAUUGAA